AGUUCUGUAAUGUACAGCAUAUGAAGUUGCAAGCUUCAAAGAGCAGGAUGACAUCUGCCGGGGCUU
rnacentral:tRNA from 1 species